AUGCCUAGGAAAUUGCCCUGAUGUGGGGGAUAACCAUUGGAAACGAUGGCUAAUACCGCAUGAUGCCUACGGGCCAAAGAGGGGGACCUUCGGGCCUCUCGCGUCAGGAUAUGCCUAGGUGGGAUUAGCUAGUUGGUGAGGUAAUGGCUCACCAAGGCGACGAUCCCUAGCUGGUCUGAGAGGAUGAUCAGCCACACUGGAACUGAGACACGGUCCAGACUCCUACGGGAGGCAGCAGUGGGGAAUAUUGCACAAUGGGCGCAAGCCUGAUGCAGCCAUGCCGCGUGUGUGAAGAAGGCCUUCGGGUUGUAAAGCACUUUCAGUCGUGAGGAAGGUGGUGUAGUUAAUAGCUGCAUUACUUGACGUUAGCGACAGAAGAAGCACCGGCUAACUCCGUGCCAGCAGCCGCGGUAAUACGGAGGGUGCGAGCGUUAAUCGGAAUUACUGGGCGUAAAGCGCAUGCAGGUGGUUUGUUAAGUCAGAUGUGAAAGCCCGGGGCUCAACCU
rnacentral:rRNA from 1 species